CUCUCCACCCACUGGGGUAUAUAAAUAUUCGGGAGGGCCGGGCACCGGGGAAGGUGGGGAGAGGAAGCAGGUGGCACGGCGGUGGCUGGGACCGGCGGGGCCGUGCGCGGGGAAGGGGAGCGAUGGUGAGAGGGAAAGGUGGGCACGGUGCGAGCCGGCACAGCCGCUGACAAUAAAGGAUAGUGCCGGGCACGGGGAGCUGGCGAGGUUGGACCGAGUUGCAAGUUGUAUUUACCUUCCGCCCGGGCGGAGCGCCGUGCUGACUGUCGCUCCUCUCCCCCGUCAGUGAGUCACCCGAAUCCAGAACCGGAGCGAGGGACUAGAUUACGAACAUGACUUCAUUGAUGACAGCCAUUCCCUCCUCUUCCUAAACUCCUGCCCCUCCUCCGGCCCCCCCAUCGCGGACGCCACUGCUCAGGCAGCUGUGUUGCCAUUGGUCCGCCGGACAGGGAGUGCCCGCCCCCCUGCGUAGAAGGGGCGGCCCUAUUGGCCCGGAGAGCUAUCGCUCAUCCGUGAGGCCGGGUGGGGGGGGUCGAAGGUGUGCAGUCGCGCGCGGGGCGGGGUGCGCUGCGCUCCGCGGCGCCGUGCGCAGGCCGAGCGCUCCGCUCCCGCGCUGGCCGUGCAGCGCCGGGCAGCGUGCGCUCCCAUCGGCUGCCGCCCCGCGCUCCUGCGCCCCUCCCAGCUCGCCUCUGCGGUGGGGAGAGAGGGGCAGGAUCUCUUUCCCUACGAAGGCGGCAGCAGGGCGCGGGCGGCACUCGCGGGAGUAGUUUGGGAAAGAGGUGAAGAAGGUGCUGGAAUUGCGCUGUGCCUCUGCCCCGCUGGAGGAGCGGGGAGGAGCCAGCCUGACGGGCCUGGGAUCAGCUGUGUCUGGCUGUUGGGAGUGAGUGUGUGUGUGUGUGUGUUUUGUGUGCGCCCAGGACGGGUGUCUCCUUCCCUUUAAAAGAAAAGGCAAAGGUGGGCGUGGAGCUUGGACCCCGACCCCUGUCUCCGGUGGCAAAGGGUGCUGUCGUGGCCGCGGGCAGGCUGCAGAGAGCAUUCCAGCGGAACCGGCCUGUCUGGCAGGCUCCGGCUCCAGCGGCGGCGCCGAGGCUGCCCGCAGCCCCUCGCGGUGCAGCGCUGAGGCGGCUGCUGAGGCAGCGGCGGGCAGAACGAUCCCGGGUGAAGCUCUUCUUUCUGCGGGAUUGGGAGGGAAAACGCAAUUUUUCCCACAUCACUCCCACUACAGUCAGCCAUUGCCCUGCCUGUUCAGGAGGACUUGCAAGAGACUAAGCCUGCUGCUUCUGCCAUGGCAUAGGACAACCAGGAGAAGAAAAAAACUUGCUGGAAUGUACAGGCUGUCUAGAAGAAAAAUGGCUUUUUUCUUACCUGAGAGAAGAGCUGAGGAAGCACAAGAGAAGGUUGCCCAACAGUAUUUUUCCUGGAAAGAGGAUGUUUGCUGUGAGCCAGACCUCCUCAUGUCCAUCUCCUUCCAAGGGGCUUAUCAGCAUGAUCUGCACAUCCGGAGUACAGAGGAACCGUACUCCAGAUGUCUGCUGCCUGUACUGUCAAUGGCCCACUGAAGUUUUUGUUAUCUAUCUGGGCUAACUGGGCCAGACAGAGCAAACAAAGAGCAUGAUGGAGGAUGAUGAGUGACUCUGCACAGGAAAGGAGUGUCCUGGUCCCAGCCACAGCCCAUGCCAGGAGAGGAGUAUCCGAGACAGCCAUUUCCGAGACCUCACCGUGCUCUCCACCAGGCUCUGCCAAAGCAUCUCUGGGAUUAAUUCCUUCUCACUCUGAUGAGGCAGAGGAAGGCAAAUCAUACACUGAGAAUAGACCUGCAUGCCAAGACACUAGAAUAAUUAAAAAGAUGUUUUUAAAAGACAGACAAAGCACUGGAUGUUGUUGAUAGACAAACUUGAACAGGAUUUUUCAGGGAUUGGUGUGCAAACCUGGUGUGCAAGAUUGGUGUGCAAUCCUGGUAUGAAAGAUAAGUGUCUAAGACAGAGAUGUUGAGCAGAUGGCCUUCUCCUUUUUAGGAAUAGAUGCACUUUGGUGUUUUAUAAACUUCAUGAAAGGAAAAUCAGGGCAACACAAAGCUAUUUUUUCCUACUUAGCAGCUGGAAGUAAGGUGAAUUUAUCAGCCUCAGUGGUAUCCCUUCUGAACAAUAGCAUCCCACAAAGAGAAAAGGCAAACAAGUAAUCCAGCACAGCAUGGCAUGGUUGAAAUCAUCUCUGUCUUGUUUUGUGCAGCUGGAAGAACAAACUUUUUUG
rnacentral:lncRNA from 1 species